GAUGAACGCUAGCGACAGGCUUAACACAUGCAAGUCGAGGGGCAGCACGGGAGUAGCAAUACAACUGGUGGCGACCGGCGCACGGGUGAGUAACGCGUAUGCAACCUACCUAUCAGAGGGGAAUAACCCGGCGAAAGUCGGACUAAUACCGCAUAAGACAGGGGCACCGCAUGGUGCUAUUUGUUAAAGAAAUUCGCUGAUAGAUGGGCAUGCGUUCCAUUAGGUAGUUGGUGAGGUAACGGCUCACCAAGCCGACGAUGGAUAGGGGAACUGAGAGGUUAGUCCCCCACACUGGUACUGAGACACGAACCAGACUCCUACGGGAGGCAGCAGUGAGGAAUAUUGGUCAAUGGGCGAGAGCCUGAACCAGCCAAGUCGCGUGAAGGAAGAAGGAUCUAUGGUUCGUAAACUUCUUUUGCAGGGGAAUAAAGUGCAGGACGUGUCCUGUUUUGUAUGUACCCUGAGAAUAAGGAUCGGCUAACUCCGUGCCAGCCGCCGCGGUAA
rnacentral:rRNA from 1 species